rnacentral:rRNA from 1 species
UACGUAGGGUGCAAGCGUUGUCCGGAAUUAUUGGGCGUAAAGAGCUCGUAGGCGGUUUGUCGCGUCUGCUGUGAAAACUCGGGGCUCAACUCCGAGCUUGCAGUCGAUACGGGCAGGCUAGAGUUCGGCAGGGGAGACUGGAAUUCCUGGUGUAGCGGUGAAAUGCGCGGAUAUCAGGAGGAACACCGGUGGCGAAGGCGGGUCUCUGGGCCGAUACUGACGCUGAGGAGCGAAAGCGUGGGGAGCGAACAGG